rnacentral:tRNA from 1 species
GCCCGGAUGGCGGAAUCGGUAGACGCGCUGGUCUCAAACACCAGUGGUAGCAAUACCGUGCCGGUUCGACCCCGGCUCCGGGUA